rnacentral:rRNA from 1 species
GCGGUAAGGCCUUUCGGGGUACACGAGCGGCGAACGGGUGAGUAACACGUGGGUGAUCUGCCCUGCACUUCGGGAUAAGCCUGGGAAACUGGGUCUAAUACCGGAUAUGACCUCCUAUCGCAUGGUGGGUGGUGGAAAGAUUUAUCGGUGCAGGAUGGGCCCGCGGCCUAUCAGCUUGUUGGUGGGGUAAUGGCCUACCAAGGCGACGACGGGUAGCCGACCUGAGAGGGUGACCGGCCACACUGGGACUGAGACACGGCCCAGACUCCUACGGGAGGCAGCAGUGGGGAAUAUUGCACAAUGGGCGAAAGCCUGAUGCAGCGACGCCGCGUGAGGGAUGACGGCCUUCGGGUUGUAAACCUCUUUCAGCAGGGACGAAGCGCAAGUGACGGUACCUGCAGAAGAAGCACCGGCUAACUACGUGCCAGCAGCCGCGGUAAUACGUAGGGUGCAAGCGUUGUCCGGAAUUACUGGGCGUAAAGAGUUCGUAGGCGGUUUGUCGCGUCGUUUGUGAAAACCAGCAGCUCAACUGCUGGCUUGCAGGCGAUACGGGCAGACUUGAGUACUGCAGGGGAGACUGGAAUUCCUGGUGUAGCGGUGAAAUGCGCAGAUAUCAGGAGGAACACC